AGAAGAACUGAAGAAGGCUGAAAUUUGAGAGGCAUUCUAAUAACCAAGACCUAGAGACUGUGUGGUGCCAGUGUUCAGAUGAACUUGCAAGUGCCUACAACAAAAAGAAGAACUGUAUUCUGGAAGUCACAUGCCUUCGAGGGAGCUGCUAACUCCAACACUCAGGCUCUGAGUAGGAACCCAAGAUUUAUGCAGCAGAGGAGGCUUUCCAUCUUGGCUCAAAAGACAGCGUUACAUUGCCUUUUAAUUCUGAUCUUGACUCUUUUGUUGUGACUGAUGGAGAUGUAAUUUGGCAGAAGGCCUUUGCAAAAUGAAGCCUUUCUCCGUGGGACUAGCAGAGAGAAUGACAACCCAUUUCUAAUUUGCCACCAUUCUUCUGCAAGAGACUUUGAAUGGUUUCUGGCUGGAAUGAAUUGACUCAAUCAAAAAAUAUACCCAUUGCCAACCCCCUCCUUCAUUUCCCUACAUCAUGUUUUAUCCAAUGUUUCCAAACUUCACCUCUUGCAACAUUUGUGAAGGGAAAAUUUCAAAACCUCUUAAGAGUUUAAUGUUCUCCUUGCAACCUUAAAGACCUUUUCUCUCUUUCUACCCUUCAUUUCAGUUCGUUUCAAUCUAUGCCAGCGUGCUGCAUGUCUUCUGGGAGCGGAAACUGAGCCAGAUUUAGCUAGCAGGAGUGUCUUUCUCUGCUCUAUUAGAUGAGAAAUGCCACAGUAGCAGCCUGAAUUUUGCAUCCUCUUUGUGCUACUGCAUCACGUUGUGGAACUGCCUCCAAAUCGCUGUCUAGUGUCACCUGCAGGGCUGCCUGGGCACACCCGCUUCCGCCGCUCUGCCUUCCCUUCACUGGCUUUGCCUGUGCUCUCCCUAUAAUAAUUUUCAAAGCUUGUUAUUGUAUUUUCUUACACUGUUUUCAUUGCUCUGGUUUUUGUUUUGGUUUGGUUUUUUAUACUAUCUCCAUUCUCAUUAAUGCCAUCAGACCCUCUCAUUUCAGCAUUAUGUGAUGUGAUUAGCAUGUUGUUUACAGCAUGCUCUGCCAUUGUAUUAAUGAAGCUGCUAAAUGAGAUGAAACCAAUUUAUAAACCUUUUAAGCUCAUAGAAAGCUAAAUAAACUCACAUUCUCACUGUUUACCUUUCUGGUUUUUAAAGAUGUCUUUAAACGGCUUUCAAGCCACAUAAGUCAGCUUGAAGUCACUCUUUAUGGAAGAUUAACAAGACACAUCACCAACCGUCACACAAACCUGUGAAACAGGCCCUGCUGUUAUUUCAUGAGGACAACCAGGUGUAUUCAGAUCCUUGCUGCACCUUGCUUGGAACAAUCAUUUUCUCUUCUGAUCUGCUGCCUUGCAAUAAAAAUCAAAGCAUUUGAGCAUUUCCUUUAUGAGGUUACUCAUUACAUGUCUGGAAAAGGUAUGUAGAGAGAUGAAUGUUCUCCAGAAUACUCUCUAGUAAUUUCUGACUUUUAAUUUAGAGAAUAGGCACCCAUAUGGCUACGGGUCCAGACGAUGGGCUGUAAAAGACACUUGAUGCAAGGAAAAGGGAAAAUGAAGAUUUUGAGUAGACCCAAAUAUAGAGCCUUCUGUACUUUCUUUCUGGUCUUAACUUCCUCCAGAACAUACUCAAAUACCUUUGAACAGUUGUAUCUUACUUUUUCUGGACAACAGUCUUGAUUGUCGUGGAUAUCCUAUACACAGGUAUGUUAAAAAGUUUUACCUUCAGCUUUCUGGCUGAAAAAU